AGUGGUAGACUUGACCAUACAAAUAGAAGAACACGUUUGGCAUCAGUUAAAUAAGAGAGGGGAGCAGGCCGCGACUAGACUGGUUAACUACAUGGAAAAUAUCGUCGUUAGAUCUGCUGCAAACAUUACAGUCAUAGUACAAGACACUCUAGCAAUAAUAAUAGCCCAAUCAGAAGCUGACAUACAUUUCCCAAUAGUCCAUGAAGUCGAUGCAGCCUACAACAUAUCGUGGUUAAGAAAAACAAAAAACAGUUUGUAUUUGUCACACAAUGCGAGUCAAACAUUCAAAGGUGCGCUAAACUACUCUAUCAUUGUCUACGACGGGUUGAAAAACAAGUUGAUGGUAAAUCAAGAAAAACAA